GAUGAACGCUGGCGGCGUGCCUAAUACAUGCAAGUCGAGCGAACAGACGAGGAGCUUGCUCCUCUGACGUUAGCGGCGGACGGGUGAGUACACGUGGAUAACCUACCUAUAAGACUGGGAUAACUUCGGGAAACCGGAGCUAAUUCCGGAUAAUAUAUUGAACCGCAUGGUUCAAUAGUGAAAGACGGUUUUGCUGUCACUUAUAGAUGGAUCCGCGCCGCAUUAGCUAGUUGGUAAGGUAACGGCUUACCAAGGCAACGAUGCGUAGCCGACCUGAGAGGGUGAUCGGCCACACUGGAACUGAGACACGGUCCAGACUCCUACGGGAGGCAGCAGUAGGGAAUCUUCCGCAAUGGGCGAAAGCCUGACGGAGCAACGCCGCGUGAGUGAUGAAGGUCUUCGGAUCGUAAAACUCUGUUAUUAGGGAAGAACAAAUGUGUAAGUAACUAUGCACGUCUUGACGGUACCUAAUCAGAAAGCCACGGCUAACUACGUG
rnacentral:rRNA from 1 species